rnacentral:lncRNA from 1 species
CAAAGAAAACAAAAUAUAUAAAGAUGAUUAAAAAGAGGGAAAAAAUUCAUAAGCUUAAAGAAAUGGAAGAAAUCAAGGUGAAAGCACUGUUACAAUUGAUCUUGCCUGAAAUUCAGGAGGAAAAAGUCAAAUAAGUGAAAAAUCUUCAAACAUAACCCCUUCUUGACAAUCAAGCAGGACUGCAAUCACAUUAGAAGCUACUCUUGGCAGCAUUGCUCUUAUCAUAUUAAACAUCAUACCUAGAGCUCCAGAAAUGGCCUCCAAUAACGAGGGGAGAAUCUUCUUUUUCCUUGCGUUUUCUCUCCGGCAGCCCAGAAGAAAGCAGCAUAAAGAAUAGCUGCUCUGACCUUCAUGAAGUAAGGAUAGACCUCUGAUGUCGAAAAUGAUACUCUUUAUCUGUUUUCAGUAGUGUCCCCAUAAGUAUAUUGGAG